AGCAGCCGCGGUAAUUCCAGCUCCAAUAGCGUAUAUUAAAGUUGUUGCAGUUAAAAAGCUCGUAGUUGAAUUUCGGGAUCAAUACGUCGGUCGUGCUUUUUUGGUACGCACUGGCGUCAUUGGUUUCUCCUUUCUGACGAACCAUGAUGUCAUUAAUUUGGUGUUAUGGGGAGUUAGGACUGUUACUUUGAAAAAAUUAGAGUGUUUAAAGCAGGCAUUAGCUUGAAUACAUUAGCAUGGAAUAAUGAAAUAGGACGUUCGAUCCUAUUUUGUUGGUUUCUAGGAUCAACGUAAUGAUUAAUAGGGAUAGUUGGG
rnacentral:rRNA from 1 species